GGCACCAAACUAUUUACUUCACUAUCUUCUCAUUAAACCACAACCACCCAUGAAGUGGUCACUGACAUCAGCAUCAAUUCACUGGUGAGGAAAUGAAAUCUCACAGAGGUGUAACAGAUACAAACAACUGAAUUGACUUCCUGGCCCUCAGCUGGAAUCAGAAGACCUCCCUGACUACACAUGUGGAGAAAUGAAUGUUCCCUGAUGGUCAAAAGGCAAGUGAUGAUGACUACCCAUAGGCCUCUUCAGAAGAAUCCAUGUUGGCUAAGAGAUGCACCUACACAUAUGGGAAGAUCGAGAUAUUCCAAAUAUGGACUCUGAACCAGGCAAAUCAAAAUAAUUGGCCAAAGGAAACCCCAAAGAAAGUGAUUUAAACCUCCAUGAGGGCCCAGCUCUCUCUGAGUCUGCCUGUAUGUCUAUCCAGAGGUGCUGUACUCUUUUUUGUCCUAAUAAAUACUUUGUUUCACUCCUUUUUGUCUUUGUGGGAAUUCUUUUCCUCAAAGCCAAAGAGCCAA
ensembl:lncRNA